UGAUAUGUCAUACAUUCUUAUAAAACCUUCUUAUUUUGAAAAUAUCCAUGCACAUUUGAAUCAUAUUGUUUUGAAUCAAAAGUAUCAUUUAAUUAUAUAGAGAUCUGGACAAGUUUUGGAGCACUAUUUUAUUUAUCCAUGCUAUUACUUUAUCAAGUGCAAAAGUUAUUAUUUGAGUAAUGAAAUGGUGUCAUUCAUCUAUAAUAUUGGUAAACCAUUCAUAAGCUGGUAAUAUGUAAAAUUUGAAUCUAUUUAGCCAGGUUUGAGGGUUAUGGAGAUCAAUAUUGUUUCAAAAGGUCACUGCAGACUUUGUGGUGAAGAUUUUUGGUCAAUCUGUUUUUUGUGACUUUGGUUUCUG
rnacentral:lncRNA from 1 species